rfam:Myotis brandtii contig246804, whole genome shotgun sequence.
UGCACCCCAGAUGACACACCUCAGAAUCGGGCUUCCUCCUCUCUGGUUCCAGGUGUGUCACCUGAGAACUGCU